rnacentral:rRNA from 1 species
UACGUAGGGGGCAAGCGUUAUCCGGAUUUACUGGGUGUAACGGGAGCGUAGGCGGUGCAGCAAGUCAGAAGUGAAAGCCCGGGGCUCAACUCCGGGACUGCUUUUGAAACUGUUGAACUAGAUUGCAGGAGAGGUAAGUGGAAUUCCUAGUGUAGCGGUGAAAUGCGUAGAUAUUAGGAGGAACACCAGUGGCGAAGGCGGCUUACUGGACUGUAAAUGACGCUGAGGCUCGAAAGCGUGGGGAGCAAACAGG